CGGACGGGUGAGUAAUGUCUGGGAAACUGCCUGAUGAGGGGAUAACUACUGGAAACGGUAGCUAAUACCGCAUAACGUCGCAAGACCAAAGAGGGGGACCUUCGGGCCUCUUGCCAUCGGAUGUGCCCAGAUGGGAUUAGCUAGUAGGUGGGGUAACGGCUCACCUAGGCGACGAUCCCUAGCUGGUCUGAGAGGAUGACCAGCCACACUGGAACUGAGACACGGUCCAG
rnacentral:rRNA from 1 species